rnacentral:tRNA from 1 species
UUUAAGUAGCUGAGUGGAUAACGCGAUGUCGUUUGAAGCAAACGAUACUGAGUUCGAGUCCCAGAGUGAACA